CUGGCGGCGUGCUUAACACAUGCAAGUCGAACGAACCUUCGGGUUAGUGGCGGACGGGUGAGUAACGCGUGAGAAUCUGCCCUCAGGAGGGGGACAACAGCUGGAAACGGCUGCUAAUACCCCAUAUGCCGCGAGGUGAAAUGAAUUUCGCCUGAGGAUGAGCUCGCGUCUGAUUAGCUAGUUGGUGUAGGUAAUGGCUCACCAAGGCAUCGAUCAGUAGCUGGUCUGAGAGGAUGAUCAGCCACACUGGGACUGAGACACGGCCCAGACUCCUACGGGAGGCAGCAGUGGGGAAUUUUCCGCAAUGGGCGAAAGCCUGACGGAGCAACGCCGCGUGAGGGAUGAAGGCCUCUGGGCUGUAAACCUCUUUUAUCAAGGAAGAAGAUCUGACGGUACUUGAUGAAUAAGCCACGGCUAAUUCCGUGCCAGCAGCCGCGGUAAUACGGGAGUGGCAAGCGUUAUCCGGAAUUAUUGGGCGUAAAGCGUCCGCAGGCGGCCCUUCAAGUCUGCUGUUAAAAAGUGGAGCUUAACUCCAUCAUGGCAGUGGAAACUGUUGGGCUUGAGUGUGGUAGGGGCAGAGGGAAUUCCCGGUGUAGCGGUGAAAUGCGUA
rnacentral:rRNA from 1 species